GACGAACGCUGGCGGCGUGCCUAAUACAUGCAAGUCGAGCGAGACUCUUCGGAGUCUAGCGGCGGACGGGUGAGUAACACGUGGGCAACCUGCCUGUAAGACUGGGAUAACACCGGGAAACCGGUGCUAAUACCGGAUAAUCCUUUUCCUCUCAUGAGGAAAAGCUGAAAGUCGGUUUCGGCUGACACUUACAGAUGGGCCCGCGGCGCAUUAGGUAGUUGGUGAGGUAACGGCUCACCAAGGCGACGAUGCGUAGCCGACCUGAGAGGGUGAACGGCCACACUGGGACUGGGACACGGCCCAGACUCCUACGGGAGGCAGCAGUAGGGAAUCUUCCACAAUGGACGAAAGUCUGAUGGAGCAACGCGGCGUGAGCGAUGAAGGCCUUCGGGUCGUAAAGCUCUGUUGUUAGGGAAGAACAAGUACCGGAGUAACUGCCGGUACCGUGACGGUACCUAACCAGAAAGCCACGGCUAACUACGUGCCAGCCGCCGCCGUAAGAC
rnacentral:rRNA from 1 species